GCCGAGCUCAUCAGCGUGAGCUUGUAACCCGAGCGGGGGCAAUAAGGUGUUGUGGACGUUGCCGUGGCGCUGCGGGCCUGGUCGGGUUGUGCUAUUCCAAGUUGAGCAGUGGACCGUUUGGGGCCUGUGCGGAAAGCUGGGCUUCACGGGCCAUGAUAUGUGGCAGGCACUGCGCGAGGCUGGUCUCACAGAGCAGCGAUCACUGCCCGCUUCCAACGGUGGAAGGAUAACGGGCCGCUGCACAACCUGGCCGCUUGGGCCUCGCAGCCCACUCCAACGAAACACCAUUUUU
rnacentral:SRP_RNA from 1 species